GGAUGAAGAACGUAGCGAAAUGCGAUACUUGGUGUGAAUUGCAGAAUCCCGUGAACCAUCGAGUCUUUGAACGCAAGUUGCGCCCGAAGCCAUUCGGCCAAGGGCACGUCUGCCUGGGCGUCACGCAUCGCGUCGCCCCCCCCCACUUAUUCCCUACGGGGAUCGGUCGGCGAGGGGCGGAAAAUGGCCUCCCGUGCGCAUCGACGUGCGGCCGGCCCAAAUGCGAUCCCGCGGUGACUCACGUCACGACCAGUGGUGGUUGAACUCUCAACUCGCGUGCUGUCGUGGCGGGUGAUGUGUCGCCGUGUGGGGUUCAAAAGUAGACCCAACGGCACGAGGUGCUCGUGCCUUCGAACGCGACCCCAGGUCAGGCGGGAUCACCCGCUGAGUUUAAGCAUAUCAAUAAGCGGAGGA
rnacentral:misc_RNA from 1 species